ACCCAAGGGUUUUUGCCGAGGUGCAAAUCCUAGGACGGAAGAUUUCCGGACUCCUGGAUACUGGGGCAUCCGUAAGUGUCCUCGGAAAGGGCAGUCGUGAGCUCCUAGACGACCUCGGGGUGGAGAUGGACAACUAUAUCUCGAUCGUCAAAACCGCCGCAGGAGAGGACAGGACCAUAAUCGGCAAGGCGAGAAUCCCUGUGGAGUACAACGGAAUCCGCAAGGACAUCCUCUUUUACAUCUGUCCAUACCUGGAGCAAGUCAUGUACUUGGGGGUCGAUUUUUGGAGGUCGUUCGAGUUGGCUCCCACAGUCCUCGGUCCGUAUCCAAGUUCGACAAGCGAUGCCAAAAUAUCCGAAGUCCAGAUGUCACAGAUCAGUCAAUAUGUCGAAGACCACCAGGAGAACGUACAUGUGGACGCAUGGGACCUGGAAGAGAAGGAAGCAUCGGAUCCAGUUGGUAGAGGGCGCGGAGCCGUUUAAGGAUCGACACUACCCUCAAUCCCUAGCGAUGCAGGAAGUGGUCUGGACCGAAGUGGACAAGAUGCUGGAACUAGGAGUGAUAGAGGUUAGCGAUAGUCCGUGGAGCAAUAGGACGACGGUAGUGCGGAAACCUAACAAAAACAGAUUUUGUUUAGACGCCCGAAAGCUGAACCAACUCACCGUCAAAGACGCUUACCCUCUUCCUAGCAUCGAGGGAAUACUG
rnacentral:lncRNA from 1 species